ensembl:snRNA U4 U4 spliceosomal RNA
AGCUUUGUGCAGAGACAGUAUCAUAGCCAGUGAGCUUUAUCCAAGGCACAAUUAUUUCUGGCUAAAAUCACUCUCUGAAAGCUAAAUAAUUAUGGUUCUUUUUAAUUUGUCACUAUUACAAUAG